GAAUGUAGCCGAGAGGUUUGUUUGUUCCUGGGGAGGGAGCUCUUUCUACCCUAGGCAGAAGCAGCCAGCCUUCCUAAAUACCCCGGGGCAGGAAUUCCAGGAGCCGCUUCCCACCUCGGGACCUCCCAGCUGCGACAAGCAGGAGAAGCACUACUAGAUCCCAAACCCUCGCCUCUGGAACCGGAGCUGCAGGGAGCGAAAAGUCGAACUGCAAGAACACAGUGAGAGAAAUGGACAAAUGCGUUAAGGAAAGGGGAGCUGGGGGAAGGGCGCACGAGAGAAAUGAACUGGCACCUCACCAGCACGUGACCACCCUCUCUAAAGCAAAAGACACUUGAUGUUGUCACUUAUGGCACAGCAUAAACAUCCUACUGUGGGAACUAGUCAAGGCAGGUAUCCCUCGCGGCAGCAGGGAUGUCUGAAGGGUGGACACUAUCACCUGUCAACUUCCGCAUUUCUUUUUACACCUGUCAUCAAGCUUCACAAAACUGUAAACAAUUUAAGUGUCUAUUGACUAAAAUCAUAAAUCUAAAAAAUUUUUGCCUUUACUUUGACCAAUGAAGGACUUAGAGCUUCUAGUAACUCAGCACAACAGAUGCUAAAGGCUGCUGUGGUUUACCUGCUUUAGGCUACAAAUGUAUUUUAUUUGCUUAUGAAGUCACCUUAACGGGGAGGACUCUUCCUGGCCAAAUAAGCUUGAUGAAGUUUGGGUUUUGUUUUUUGUUUUUUUUUUUUUAACGGUGUCCCUAUCUCUGUUCUCUUCCCAAGGCACCAUUGCUUAUUUGACACUGGAAUAAUAAAGGUCAUUUCAAGGUUGCUUCUCUCAAAGGCUCCAGAGCUAGGCCUCUAGGGACUGUUCUGUAUAUCUAAGUGCUUAAUUGAAAGCAAUCAAUGUCACAGAUCAAUUCAGGAUUUAGCAUCAAAUACUGUUUGCUGAAUAAGACCAAGAAGGAAAUCCCUGGCCUCAUAGAACUCAGGAAAGCCCCAGAGUGGAAGGCCCAUUCUAGCAGAUUCUCCCUUCCUUAAACGGUUCUGGCAGAAGGUAGAAUGCAAAAAUAAAUAUAGAAAAUUGAUUUAGCCUUUUCAUUUAAUAAAAAACAUCUAGAGAUUUAAUAAAGUAGAAACUGUAUUUAAUAUAGGUGCACACAUACACACAUACACA